AUUGAACGCUGGCGGCAGGCCCAACACAUGCAAGUCGAACGGUAACAGAAAGCAGCUUGCUGCUUUGCUGACGAGUGGCGGACGGGUGAGUAAUGUCUGGGAAACUGCCUGAUGGAGGGGGAUAACUACUGGAAACGGUAGCUAAUACCGCAUAACGUCGCAAGACCAAAGAGGGGGACCUUCGGGCCUCUUGCCAUCGGAUGUGCCCAGAUGGGAUUAGCUAGUAGGUGGGGUAACGGCUCACCUAGGCGACGAUCCCUAGCUGGUCUGAGAGGAUGACCAGCCACACUGGAACUGAGACACGGUCCAGACUCCUACGGGAGGCAGCAGUGGGGAAUAUUGCACAAUGGGCGCAAGCCUGAUGCAGCCAUGCCGCGUGUAUGAAGAAGGCCUUCGGGUUGUAAAGUACUUUCAGCGGGGAGGAAGGGAGUAAAGUUAAUACCUUUGCUCAUUGACGUUACCCGCAGAAGAAGCACCGGCUAACUCCGUG
rnacentral:rRNA from 1 species